rnacentral:rRNA from 1 species
GUCCACGCCCUAAACGAUGUCGACUGGUUGUUGGGGUUUGACACUCUCAGUAACGAAGCUAACGCGUGAAGUCGACCGCCUGGGGAGUACGGCCGCAAGGUUAAAACUCAAGGAAUUGACGGGGACCCGCACAAGCGGUGGAUUAUGUGGAUUAAUUCGAUGCAACGCGAAAACCUUACCUACCCUUGACAUGUCCCGAAGCCCGGUGAGAGCCGGGGGUGCCCGAAAGGGAACGGGAACACAGGUGCUGCAUGGCUGUCGU